GAUGAACGCUGGCGGCGUGCCUAAUACAUGCAAGUCGAGCGAAUGGAUUAAGAGCUUGCUCUUAUGAAGUUAGCGGCGGACGGGUGAGUAACACGUGGGUAACCUGCCCAUAAGACUGGGAUAACUCCGGGAAACCGGGGCUAAUACCGGAUAACAUUUUGAACCGCAUGGUUCGAAAUUGAAAGGCGGCUCCGGCUGUCACUUAUGGAUGGACCCGCGUCGCAUGAGCUAGUUGGUGAGGUAACAGCACACCAAGGCAACGAUGCGUAGCCGACCUGAGAGGGUGAUCGGCCACACUGGGACUGAGACACGGCCCAGACUCCUACGGGAGGCAGCAGUAGGGAAUCUUCCGCAAUGGACGAAAGUCCGACGGAGCAACGCCGCGUGAGUGAUGAAGGCUUUCGGGUCGUAAAACUCUGUUGUUAGGGAAGAACAAGUGCUAGUUGAAUAAGCUGACACCUUGACGGUACCUAACCAGAAAGCCACGGCUAACUACGUGCCAGCCGCCGCAGUAA
rnacentral:rRNA from 1 species